rnacentral:rRNA from 1 species
CCCCUAGACGUUCUGGGCUGCACGCGCGCUACAAUAAUACGCACAGCGAGUAUCACCGAGCUCGAAAGGGCAAGGUAAACAAUAGAAAAGGUACUGUAAUGGUUAUAGAUCCUUGUAAUUAUUGAUCUUCAACGAGGAAUUCCUAGUAAGUAUGUGUCAUCAUCACGCACUGAUUACGUCCCUGCCCUUUGUACACACCGCCCGUCGCUCCUACCGAUUGGGUGAGCCGAUGAAACUCUCGGAUGUAGGCUAUUCAUAGCCCGCAGAAGAGAUUUGAAUCGUAGCGCUUAGAGGAAGGAGAAAUCGUAACA